CUGUUUUGGGGGUGAAAUUAACAGGCAAGUUGGUGAGCUUUGGUGAAGCAAACAACCUUACAUGAUGUGAGUGGUCCUUGUGCCCAGUUGAAGCCGUGAGUAAAACAAAGUCUGACAUAGCCUUGAGCAAGAAAGAACUCUACCUCCAGACAACUUCGGGGGCAGAUGCACUGUGCACUGGAGAGGCAGAGCAUCCUGCCUUCCACAGCCGUGCACACCAGUCCCUGUGCACAAGUGGCCACCCACCCAGCGAAUCGACGUGGUGUGCUUAUCAAAAUCUGUGUGUCUGUGGGCCAGAGCCAAAUCCAGAGCCCCAUCCUGAAUGCCCAGCGGUGCCCACAGCCAGGAGGAGCAUUCGAUGUGUGAUGACUCAUCUCGUGCAUCAGACGCUCUCUAAAGUUCCCACAGAUUAUACCAUGGCUUAGUGAGUGCGAUUCUAAGACAGUUCCAAAAGACUUUUCAAUCCGUGGGAGUUUCAAAGUGGAUUCUCAGACAAACAUGGGGAGGACUGAGGCAGGCUUGGACACGCACAGAAUCAGACAACGAUGGUCCGGAGUUCAAAUCCCUGCAACCACAUGGUGGCUCACAACCAACUGUAAUGAGAUCUGGCGCCCUCUUCUGGAGUGUCUGAAGACAGAUACAGUGUACUUACAUAUAGUAAAUAAAUAAAUCUUAAAAAAAAAAAAAA
rnacentral:lncRNA from 1 species